rnacentral:rRNA from 1 species
UACGAAGGGGGCUAGCGUUGCUCGGAAUUACUGGGCGUAAAGCGCACGUAGGCGGCUUCUUAAGUCGGUGGUGAAAUCCUGGAGCUCAACUCCAGAACUGCCUUCGAUACUGAGAAGCUCGAGUCCGGGAGAGGUGAGUGGAACUGCGAGUGUAGAGGUGAAAUUCGUAGAUAUUCGCAAGAACACCAGUGGCGAAGGCGGCUCACUGGCCCGAUACUGACGCUGAGGCACGAAAGCGUGGGGAGCAAACAGG